rnacentral:tRNA from 2 species
UCCCCAAUAGCUCAGCGGUAGAGCAAUCGGCUGUUAACCGAUUUUAGUCGUAGGUUCAAAUCCUACUUGGGGAG